GUGGGUAUAGCUCAGUUGGUUAGAGCAUCGGAUUGUGGUUCCGAGGGUCGAGGGUUCGAAUCCCUUUACCCACCCCA
rnacentral:tRNA from 2 species